GUACGGGAGGCAGCAGUGGGGAAUAUUGGACAAUGGGCGCAAGCCUGAUCCAGCAAUGCCGCGUGUGUGAAGAAGGCCUUCGGGUUGUAAAGCACUUUUAUCGGGAACGAAAUACCAUUGGUUAAUAACCGGUGGGGCUGACGGUACCCGAGGAAUAAGCACCGGCUAACUUCGUGCCAGCAGCCGCGGUAAUACGAAGGGUGCAAGCGUUAAUCGGAAUUACUGGGCGUAAAGGGUGCGUAGGCGGUUAGUUAAGUCUGUUGUGAAAUCCCCGGGCUCAACCUGGGAAUGGCAAUGGAUACUGGCUAGCUAGAGUGUGUCAGAGGAUGGUGGAAUUUCCGGUGUAGCGGUGAAAUGCGUAG
rnacentral:rRNA from 1 species